AAAUUGAAGAGUUUGAUCAUGGCUCAGAUUGAACGCUGGCGGCAGGCCUAACACAUGCAAGUCGAACGGUAACAGGAAGCAGCUUGCUGCUUCGCUGACGAGUGGCGGACGGGUGAGUAAUGUCUGGGAAACUGCCUGAUGGAGGGGGAUAACUACUGGAAACGGUGGCUAAUACCGCAUAACGUCGCAAGACCAAAGAGGGGGACCUUCGGGCCUCUUGCCAUCAGAUGUGCCCAGAUGGGAUUAGCUUGUUGGUGAGGUAACGGCUCACCAAGGCAACGAUCCCUAGCUGGUCUGAGAGGAUGACCAGCCACACUGGAACUGAGACACGGUCCAGACUCCUACGGGAGGCAGCAGUGGGGAAUAUUGCACAAUGGGCGCAAGCCUGAUGCAGCCAUGCCGCGUGUAUGAAGAAGGCCUUCGGGUUGUAAAGUACUUUCAGCGGGGAGGAAGGUGUUGUGGUUAAUAACCGCAGCAAUUGACGUUACCCGCAGAAGAAGCACCGGCU
rnacentral:rRNA from 1 species